GAUGAAGAACGUAGCGAAAUGCGAUAAGUAAUGCGAAUUGCAGAAUUCCAGUGAGUCAUCGAAUCUUUGAACGCACAUUGCGCCCGCCAGUAUUCUGGCGGGCAUGCCUGUUCGAGCGUCAUUUCAACCCUCAAGCACAGCUUGGUGUUGGGACUCGCGUUAAUUCGCGUUCCUCAAAUUGAUUGGCGGUCACGUCGAGCUUCCAUAGCGUAGUAGUAAAACCCUCGUUACUGGUAAUCGUCGCGGCCACGCCGUUAAACCCCAACUUCUGAAUGUUGACCUCGGAUCAGGUAGGAAUACCCGCUGAACUUAAGCAUAUCAAUAAGCGGAGGA
rnacentral:misc_RNA from 1 species